rnacentral:misc_RNA from 1 species
CCUCAAUCAUUUACAUUUACACAGAAUCAAAAACCCAAAAAAAUUAAGUCAAAGAAAUUAAAAAUCAGUAGCAAUUAACCCAAAAGAGGAGUUUCUUCCUCUUCUUGACUAUCAAAUUCAUCACCACACUCAUACACAGAUCCAACAAGCCUUAACUGAUCUUCCAAAUACCUCUGCAAAAGUCCAACUUCCUUUUCCUCAUCCACCAUCCGAUCGCAAUCGCAGAAUCCCUCUUCACAUCGCCGCAGACGUUCCUCAUCGUCCACCUCCUUUUUCCCCCGGCAGAGGCGGCAAGUGUGGAUGCAGAGCUCAACAGCACAUAGAAGAGGAAAGCAAGCGCAGAUAAAAGGGAGAAGAAUAGGAGAACAGAGGAGGAGAAAGAGAAAGCGGCUCCAGCGCGUGCGGAGCCACGAAGUGGCGGCUAGCAUGACCCGGUGGACCGGCGAGAACAUGGAGGAAGGAGGGGUCGUGGGGGAGGAAUUGAAUUGGGAUUCAUGGCCGAUGGGGUGAGGAUUUGGGGGAAGUAGUAGUGAAGGUGGAGUGGGUUUGGGGUUUGAAAGAGAAGGGGCAGCAUGUGAGCGGGGAUUUUUAUACAUGAAGGGCAUGUGAUUAAUUGGUGAAGCUGAUGUUGAUUUUGAUUUUGGGUAACUGAUUU